AUGGCUGAGCUACAAAACUUGAAGCACAAGCAAGGAGAAAAGGCUCAUCAUGCAAAGAAAAAAAGGAACGGGAUUAGUAGCAAGUGUGCUUCUUUGGUUAAGGAGCAACGUGCUCGUCUCUACAUCGUUCGACGUUGUGCCACCAUGCUUCUUUGUUGGGAGACAAGUAUCUUGGUCCAUGUUCUCUGUCAUUGCAAUUUUGGAACACAAGAUCUCAGAUAUGACAAACAACUUAGUGUGAGAUGA